AUGAGGCUCACAGCAUGGAACUGCCGGGGUUUGGGGAAUGGCCCGACAGUAAGAGGGCUUCUAGACCUCCAGAGUUAGGUAGACCCCGAAAUUAUUUUCUUGUCUGAAACAAAAUUGGAUAAAAGAAGAAUGGAGAAGUUUAAGUGGAUGCUUGGCAUGAGUAAUAUGGUGGUAAGAGAUUGUGCAGGCAAAAGUGGAGGCUUGGCUUUACUUUGGAAGAAAUAA
rnacentral:rRNA from 1 species